UACAGAGGUCUCAAGCGUUUGUUCGGAUUCAUUGGGCGUAAAGGGUGCGUAGGCGGCGCGGUAAGUCGGGUGUGAAAUCUCGGAGCUUAACUCCGAAACUGCAUUCGAUACUGCCGUGCUUGAGGACUGGAGAGGAGACUGGAAUUUACGGUGUAGCGGUGAAAUGCGUAGAUAUCUGGAGGAACACCGGUGGCGAAGGCGGCGUUCUGGACUGCAACUGACACUGAAAAACGAAAGCCAGGGGAGCAAACGGG
rnacentral:rRNA from 1 species